CUCCCACUGGGCGGAAAAUGACUCUUUCCUAAUGUGAAUUGGCAUCAUUGUAUUAUGUUCGUCUACGGUUAAGUAGUGUUUACUUUCAAAUUUGUUUAAAAAAUUUGUUUAAAAAAUUUGAUAGCUGCUCCUCAACAUUUUGUCUGUUCCCGAAACCUAGCCGUCAGUCACCCGUGCUAUUUUACUUUAUUUGGUUAUUUACUUCGCCUUCCGAAUGGAGCUCCAAAAACGAAAUUUAAAACAUGACCUAGGCAACUCUGAAUCGGCUUUUUUCGAUGAUUUACCUUUGAUGAUAGUUACUUCCUCUCCGAUUGAGAGAAAUAGAGGUAAUAAAACAAGCUCAAAACAUGUAAAAAACCCACCUUGUGAAGAUAAUCAUACAUGGUCUAAAUUAUUUGCAACAUAUCAAACUACAUCUGUGAAAGAUAAGCAGAUGGACAAAAAUUGUCAUUUAUCCUUGGAGGAAUCUACCACAACGGAAAAUACAUCUUCUUCAUCCUAUCAAACCAUUGCAGAGCAGAAAACUAAAAUUCUUUUAACUCCUGGAAAAAGGUUUCAAGUUGUUUCAAGCAGUUCUAGGAAAAUACAUCUCAGAAACCAAACACCCAAAAAAUCCAGUUCGGCAGCCAGUCAUCAGUACUGUCACAAUUGGGAAAGUGAAGAAGAGGAGGAGGAGGAAAGCAUUCAAACUAUUAAAAAUAGACUGAAGAAUGUCGAAAAUUUGUCAGCCAAAGACAUAGAAAGAUAUGAACGAAUUUUACUAAAAUUGGUGGAAUCAAACAAUAUGAGAAAAGAUGUUGAAGUUAACAAUUUUUCAGUGGAAAAUUCAAAUUUGAUGCAUUUUAUCAAAAAAAAUAUUGGCCAAUGCAAUUUGUCCCCUAGAACAAUUCGAAUGCUGGGAAAACAUAGCCAAGAGCAGGAAAAACGGUUGAUUGGUUUAGCAGUCGCUAAGAGAAAAUCCGCAACUGAAAUCCAAAAAAGGAUUAACAGACAGUUUUUGGAAACAAAACAACAGAUUAAAAACCGAGAGGAGCUUGAAAUGAAAUUAGUUAAAGCUGCUGGUCUGCGUCAAAAAGCCACCACCACUUCGACAUUAUUCAAUCAAGCACACAUUGCCCAUCACCGGCAGUUCGUUACCGAAAGUCGUCAAAAGGACAACCUUUUGCGAUUUCAGAAGCAAAUCCAAAGCGAAGCUAUAAAAAAUAAUACCCAGACCAACAAGAUUGUUAAGGGACUUUGGAAAACGUUUUUACAUGAACAAUAUAAUGAGCUGCGUAAGGAGGUAAGAGAACGGCAUCUCCAAAAUGCUGCGAUCCUUAAAGAAUCGGAAACAAAUCUUCAUCGUCUAAAAAACAACUAUGAGGAGAAAUUAAAGGAAUUAAAAGAUGUAGUUGCAGCUACAGCUGCCGAAGCUGGGAUAGAGAAAAAAGAAGUGAGCCGAGAAAUUGAACGUCUUCAACGAAAAAUUCGACACCAGUUUGAAACGGAGUUUGAAACGUUGUUGGGUAAUAUUGAGACAAAAGGGAACCACAAACGAUUCAUCAGGGAUGAAAAGGCAUCUAAACUUAAAAAACAGCUUCAGAAGGGAGAUUAUGUGUUUGAAGUGUAACACUCACUUGACUGAAAAACGUAAACGAAAUUAUACGUUCUUUAGAAAGCGUCUCAGUGCUAUACAAAUGAUCUAACAGCCUAAUUUAGGCGUCGGGCACCUUCACAAGGCUUGCAUAUAUAUGAAAUGGGAAAUAUAUUGUGAAGUUCGCAAUGACUCCGAAUAGAUUCCAUCGCGCUUAAUGACAUCUCAGUCUCAGCCUUGAAAAAACAAAUAAUAAUAACAUAAAUAAAUAAAAUGUAAAAAUUG
rnacentral:misc_RNA from 1 species